rnacentral:rRNA from 1 species
GUCAGCAGCCAUAUCACCCUGCAACUCACAACUGGCAGCCCACUGAAGCUCAGCAGGUGUGAGCCUGGUCAGUACCUGGAGGGGAGACUCCUGGGAAAAACUAAGGUUGCUGCUGGAA